rnacentral:rRNA from 1 species
UACGUAGGGCGCAAGCGUUAUCCGGAAUUAUUGGGCGUAAAGAGCUCGUAGGCGGUGUGUCGCGUCGGCCGUGAAAACCUGGGGCUCAACUCUGGGCGUGCGGUCGAUACGGGCAUCACUUGAGUUCGGCAGGGGAGACUGGAAUUCCUGGUGUAGCGGUGAAAUGCGCAGAUAUCAGGAGGAACACCGGUGGCGAAGGCGGGUCUCUGGGCCGAUACUGACGCUGAGGAGCGAAAGCGUGGGGAGCGAACAGG